CACACGCCCCUAAUCCUUUACUGGCUGUAACAAGAAAGGCAUCUGACUUUAAUUUAGACUGGCUGCCACCAGUCUGAAACAGGAAAGCAACGUGCAAUGCUAGAAAGUAACAAGAGAGCAGCUAUGCCGAACAAAAGCAAAGCCAUUUAAAAUGUACCACAGAAUAAAAUAAAAAAUUGCAUCUCUUGGAAAAUGCCGCAUUGAGUAGUGCUUCAGGGAGGACCUGUUUCAAAAGAUGCUCGUCUCCAAAGGAGAAAAAGCUCCAUCCCCUGUACGGAGCAGUCUCGUUGUACUUGCCCGGAUGUACCGCGAGGUCAGCAGUCUCCCAUGAGACUGUCACUUAAGUGAAGACAGACUCUUAGAGCCAGCCGCCAGAGAGAGCUGAAGAACAAAUCAGACUAGCACAUCCCUCUCACCCCAUGUG
rnacentral:lncRNA from 1 species